CCGUAGGUGAACCUGCGGAAGGAUCAUUACCUUUCAAUGCAGAAGAGUUGAGAUGGUUGAGUAUCUCGCCUCUCAAUUCUCGCUGUAUUUUACCCUUGUUUUUCUCAUACUAUUAUUUCCUCGGCAGGCUCGCCUGCCGGGUGAAACAACUUCAAACCUGUUUAAUUUUCAAUCAGCGUCUGAACAAAUUAAUAAUUACAACUUUCAACAACGGAUCUCUUGGUUCUGGCAUCGAUGAAGAACGCAGCGAAAUGCGAUAAGUAGUGUGAAUUGCAGAAUUCAGUGAAUCAUCGAAUCUUUGAACGCACAUUGCGCCCCUUGGUAUUCCAUGGGGCAUGCCUGUUCGAGCGUCAUUUGUACCUUCAAGCUCUGCUUGGUGUUGGGUGUUUGUCCUUGCUCUAGUGGCGGGACUCGCCUUAAAGUAAUUGGCAGCCAGUGUUUUGGUUUUGAAGCGCAGCACAAGUCGCGAUUCAAGUCUAUACGCUAGUUUCCACAAGUCUUUUAUCACUUUUGACCUCGGAUCAGGUAGGGAUACCCGCUGAACUUAAGCAUAUCAA
rnacentral:rRNA from 1 species